rnacentral:rRNA from 1 species
UACGUAGGGGGCGAGCGUUGUCCGGAUUUACUGGGCGUAAAGAGCGCGUAGGCGGAUGUUUAAGUGUGGCCUCAAAGCCCCCGGCUCAACCGGGGAUCUGGGUUGCAAACUGGGCAUCUUGAGGGGAUAGAGGAGAGUGGAAUUCCUGGUGUAAGCGGUGAAUGCGUAGAUAUCAGGAGGAACACCCGUGGCGAAGGCGGCUCUCUGGGUCCGCCCUGACGCUGAGGCGCGAAAGCGUGGGGAGCGAACGGG